CGUUAAGUCUGAUGUGAAAGCCCUGGGCUCAACCUGGGAAUGGCAUUGGAUACUGGCGACCUAGAGUGCGGUAGAGGGGUGCGGAAUUCCCGGUGUAGCAGUGAAAUGCGUAGAUAUCGGGAGGAACAUCUGUGGCGAAGGCGGCACCCUGGACCAGCACUGACACUGAGGCACGAAAGCGUGGGGAGCAAACAGGAUUAGAAACCCGGUAGU
rnacentral:ncRNA from 1 species